rnacentral:rRNA from 1 species
AAUGAACGCUGGCGGCAUGCCUUACACAUGCAAGUCGAACGGCAGCAUGACCUAGCUUGCUAGGUUGAUGGCGAGUGGCGAACGGGUGAGUAAUGCAUCGGAACGUGCCUUUUAGUGGGGGAUAACGUAGCGAAAGUUACGCUAAUACCGCAUAUUCUCUGAGGAGGAAAGCAGGGGGCCUUCGGGCCUUGCGCUAGAAGAGCGGCCGAUGUCGGAUUAGCUAGUUGGUGAGGUAAAGGCUCACCAAGGCAACGGUCCGUAGCGGGUCUGAGAGGAUGAUCCGCCACACUGGGACUGAGACACGGCCCAGACUCCUACGGGAGGCAGCAGUGGGGAAUUUUGGACAAUGGGCGCAAGCCUGAUCCAGCCAUGCCGCGUGAGUGAAGAAGGCCUUCGGGUUGUAAAGCUCUUUCGGCUGGGAAGAAAUCGCACUCUCUAAUACAGGGUGUGGAUGACGGUACCAGCAUAAGAAGCACCGGCUAACUACGUG